UACGAAGGGGGCUAGCGUUGUUCGGAAUUACUGGGCGUAAAGCGUAUGCAGGCGGAUCGUUAAGUCGGGGGUGAAAUCCCGGGGCUCAACCUCGGAACUGCCUUCGAUACUGGGGAUCUUGAGUCCGGGAGAGGUGAGUGGAACUCCGAGUGUAGAGGUGAAAUUCGUAGAUAUUCGGAAGAACACCAGUGGCGAAGGCGGCUCACUGGCCCGGUACUGACGCUGAGAUACGAAAGCGUGGGGAGCAAACAGG
rnacentral:rRNA from 1 species